ACUAAAUGUAGCUGUAGAAGAACCUGUAACAUUAACACUACAUUAACACUACAAUAACACUACAUUUACACUACAUGUACGCUACACGGUGUCGUGGCAGGUUGGAGUCUCGUCCUCGGAAAGUUUAAGGGACUAAUUUCCGAAGUGCGCACUUUUACAGACAAACCUGCAGCAAGAAGAGACAGAUUUGCAGUUCCACUCCUGCACUGCUCGCCAUGGAAUACUCUCACCAUACUACUUAGUAUUCAAGUAUGCGCUACUGUAGCUACUACUCCUCACCUGCUAUUAGGAGAAGGCGCUUUAGUAGGUUGGCUAGCAACAGUUUGUUGAUGCACAAGGACAACUGCAGAAGGACAUUAAGCAUGAAGUCAGCCUGGAGUCAACUCACACAAAAGAUUAUGAUCAAGGAUUAGCCCUGCUCACGCUCUAAGAGGCAUUUGAUGAGUUCUGUCCUUCUGCACCCCUCAUCCCAGCUUCUGUCAGCUGCAAUACCUAUUAAAGAGACCAUAAAGGGGAAGGAGAUCUCAUGACCUUGUCAAGCUACUGCUCCAUGAAGCAAUGGUGCCAUAGAUUGAAUGUGGACGAAGGAACCUGUAGAAAAGAAGUACUGCAGCCAUCAUACAUCAGAAAAUAAACAGUAGUCUUAUCAAAUAUUUCUGCAACUCCUUCAAAAUUUAGUCAGUUUCCUUAGUUUUGAUUUUUUUUACCACACAAAUAGCAACCACUGUAUGAAAGAAAGUUCCUUGAAGGGUUUUUUUUUUGGAUAGAUAUGGGUUCUUCGAGUUCUUCCAGUUUCCACAAAAAAAGAAAAACUACACAAAAAAAAGGGUUCUUUAAGGGUUUUUUGAAUAGUUAUGGCAUCUUUGCUUUCUUCACUUUUAAUAAUGACUAUGAAAUGUAACAAUGUCAUGUCAUAAAAACUACAGUAGCCAUCAUGCUAGUACACUUAUCAAAUAUUUCUGCAACUCCUUCAAAGGCUAGUCACUUUCUUCAGUUAGUUUUGAUUUUAGACAUCCACUGUAAUGUUUUGGGAUAAUUCUGGGUUCUUUGCCUUCCAGUAUCACAAUACAGAACUGCUAGCUGUCAUUCUAUUAACCCAUUUUAAACCUGCCUAUGCUAUGAUAUGCUAUACUCCGUCUACGACAGCGACGAGGCCUUGACCACCUACAUCCAACACGGCAAGGCUGUGAAUCGACAGCUUUACGCUGGCCGAAAUGCAGAAAAAAAAGCUCAAGAUACCUCGAAGAUAUCUGGAAACUUUCUCUGAGAAUAUGAAGAUGCUGCCCAUAGACAUGGCUCAUCUAAAAUUUCUUCAAAGUUUUAGUCAGGUUUUUACUUUCUUGAUGAAUUCUCUGUGAUUGGGAAACAACUUCGGUGUAGUGUUGUAGACACAGAGAAAGGGAUUAUGGGUAAUUGCUCAUUUCUGUGCAAUAUAACAGACACUGAAAUCAAUAUCUGGUCCUGAUCUGAAAAAGAAAAUAUUGUUUUUCUUUUUGGUCUACCGUGUGAUACAAUUAAUACAGAACUAAAGCUCAACACACACCCACACACGCACCACAACACUACAAGCCAUUACUUCGUCACUUAUGUGUGUAAAUGUGUUUGACUGCAAUAACUGAGAGUGACUGCAAUGCAUCCCAGACCAGAACACACUUCACUAUUUAAACAUUAUUUCUCAGAAGUCUGAAGAGAACACAGCAGUGAUGAAAUUCAGAAGCAUCAUCCGGACCAUUGCACACACCAAACCACCUUACCAACACCAAACCUCCACUGGGAGAUUAGAAAUGUACCUCCACAAUCGAAGACUGCCAUCUACAAACACCUGAACUAAUAACUCUGUGACCUGUUAACCUCUGACCCCUGACCUAUUGGCAUUUACUUCUGCUCCAGCUCUAUUCUGAGUGGAAAUGUAAAGAAGUUAAUAAAGUCUCAGUGACAAAAAUC